rnacentral:snRNA from 1 species
AAGCGUUAAUAGCUCUUUUAGAAUUUGUCUAGCAGGUUUUCUGGCUUUUAGCCAGAAAUUUUUU